rnacentral:rRNA from 1 species
CUUACGGGAGGCAGCAGUGGGGAAUAUUGCACAAUGGGCGCAAGCCUGAUGCAGCCAUGCCGCGUGUGUGAAGAAGGCCUUCGGGUUGUAAAGCACUUUCAGCGGGGAGGAAGGCGGUGAGGUUAAUAACCUCAUCGAUUGACGUUACCCGCAGAAGAAGCACCGGCUAACUCCGUGCCAGCAGCCGCGGUAAUACGGAGGGUGCAAGCGUUAAUCGGAAUUACUGGGCGUAAAGCGCACGCAGGCGGUCUGUCAAGUCGGAUGUGAAAUCCCCGGGCUCAACCUGGGAACUGCAUUCGAAACUGGCAGGCUAGAGUCUUGUAGAGGGGGGUAGAAUUCCAGGUGUAGCGGUGAAAUGCGUAGAGAUCUGGAGGGAUACCGGUGGCGAAGGCGGCCCCCUGGACAAAGACUGACGCUCAGGUGCGAAAGCGUGGGGAGCAAACAGGAUUAGAUACCCGUGUAGUC